CUAGUGUGUUAUAUUUAAUCAUACUCUAACAUUAUCUUCUACAGUAGUGUAGGUUCCAGCUGGUGUCAAUGGAUUUAUGAACAAAAAAUAAAUAAAUAAGGACUUACAACGCACAAGAAGAAAGUGGUUUAUAAGAAAGUGAUAUGUCCUUAAACAACAAAAACAAGUAACACAAAUAAGAGGGCUAAGAGGCACUGGGUCGCACACCUGAGGGAAUGAGAUGAAAAAAAAAUUAAAGACGAGUUAAACUCGUGUGCAAAUAAUUCAGAACAUUUAUAUAACAAAGGCUGACUUCAAGUCGAGGUUAAGAUCUUCCAAAGUUUUUAAUAUAAGCAUAAAUAGAAAAUUACCCAACCUGGUUUUUGAUACUGAUUAACAAGAACCAUUUUACAAUACGAAAGUAUCAAGGAAACAUACGCUUUGACCAAAGUUCAUGAAGAUUGGGAUAAAAAUGCAACUUCUAGAGUUUUUACGUGUUUACAUUAUAAACGAAAAGAGAAAACGGCUCCACCCCAUGGCGGCCAUUUUUACCCCACCUAUCAGUACCAAUUUCGAACUUGUCUGAAAAAAUCAAUAAUACCAAUUUUCUGACUAAGUUUCAUAAUGAAGACAAUCCGCUUCCGGUUUUGAGUGAGCAUCAAUUAAAAAUGUAAUUCUUAAAACUAAAAAAAAACGCGUGUGAGGCACACAAAUAACAUUUGUGAGUGAUGUGAAGUUUAUUGAACAGGAUGUGACAUGUAAAAAAAUAAAACGAGGUUUGUGACUUUUAGAAGGCUUUUUCUCAAGCUUUUGUAUUUUUCUAUUGACGGGUGGGGUGUGAGAAAGACUCUGGAUAUUGACAUAAUAUGUGUAUACACACAUAAGGUCAUUGUGAUUGUCAUUGUCUGGCGCCUCCGUGACGCAUCAAUAAACAUGUUAAUAGUUUACCGUGACAGUAGCUAAAGUGAACACGAGUGUUUAAGGGUUUAUUGUGAAUACUGUCCCGUUAAUACCGUGUUAGUUGUGAAAUCAUGAACAAACGCCAGCAUUCAUCUACUGCGAGCGAGUUAACAGACAAUAGCUCAUUAGACUCGUCUAUAUUCGAAAGUUUAAAGGGGCAGAAGUCCAAGAAAGACUUGGAAAUCAUUGAAUGCAACAUAUUCGACCAGACAAAGGAAAUUGAAUCGUUACAUUGUCAAAUAACCAGCAAAGACAAAGAGCUACAAGACCUGAAAACAAAGCUGAAUGACUCAGAAAAGCGUACUGCAGAAAUUUUAAAUGAGCACGAGCAGUAUAGCCGUAGAAACCAUUUGCGAAUUACGGGUCUACAAGGAGACGAACAAUUUCAGUCCUCAAUAGCGUUGACUUAACAGGUGUCGUCCCUUUUAAGUUCCAAGCUUGGUCUGCGCGUUGAAAAGGAGGAUAUAGACAUAGCGCAUAGGAUAGGGAAACAUCACCGAGGGAAGAUCCGACCGGUCAUCGUCAGGUUCAUACGGCGCCAAACAAAAUCGGAUGUAAUGCGAAAUGCAAAGCUACUCAAAGGUUCCGGUAUUUUCUUGAAUGAAGACCUGACAAAAUUGAACGCUGAAGUUCUAGCGUCCGUUAGGGUGAAGGACCCCGAGACGGUGGAGCGAGCGUGGUCGUUCGAUGGGAAGCUGUAUGCACGCUUCAGAGGUAAAGAGCACUGAGAUAAUCGAUUACGAACAUUUUCAGACGUGAAUCAACAAACCAUGGCCGAAGGCGGUAGCUUCACUAUCGUACGCCAGCAGGGCUUCAGCUAGCACAAAUCGACGCCGGUAACAUAGGGCUCACCGUGUUAGAACUGACGGUGUUUUUUUUGCUAUAUCAUAUCAUUAACAGUCUAUAUUCACGUAUUUGAAAUACGUAUGCAAACCAGUUUAAUCAUGACAUUGUAACUAGACCACCCUAAUAUCUGUGUUGUGUGUUUUUUGAUCCUGUUGUUCUCUUGGUUUUUUAUUGUUUGUAAUUUCCUAAUUUAAGUACUUUUUCUCUCUAAUUCGAUAAAGAUACGCAUUUUGUUAAGCAUAUCAUACUUAUAUAAUCGAACUUAAUCUAUGUCUAUUGUUAUUAGACACAAUCUCAUACGGUGUAAGUUCACACACGCAACGUACGCACGCAUGUACAAACACACACACACACGCUUGCGCGCGCGCACACACACACACUUACACACCCAUCCACACGCACACAUGCAAGUAGUAGUAAUAUAUACUUUUAUAUUUGCUCAUUUAGAGGCCUAGAUAUACUAAUGGGUAAUAUAGCGUGAUAAAACAAUUACCCAUAAUAUGCCAUUGUACAAUAUUAUAUUUGUAAAACAUAAGUCUAUUGUUUAUGUAUGCAUAUUAGUAUGGACCGAGUAGUAUUGUAGCUUCAUUAAGUCGACAGGUGCCAUGGUGUUGUUUUUGUUGUUGUUGUUAUUGUUAUAUGACACAGCCCCCUUUUUUUGGUUACAGUGUAAAUCGAGUACUAACGACUCGAAACACAUAAGCUGUAAUCAUUUUAAAAACACACACUUUACACAUACGCACGCUAACUCACACACCAACGCACGUGCACAGAUGCACGUACGCGUGCGCACACACACGCACGCGCGCGCGCGCACACACACACACACACACACACACACACACACACACACACACACACACACACACACACACACACACACACACACACACACACACACACACACACACACACACACACACACACACACACACACACACACACACACACACACACACACACACACACACACACACACACACACACACACACACACACACACACACACACACACACACACACACACACACACACACACACACACACACACACACACACACACACACACACACACACAUGCAAGAAGUAGUAUAUAUUACUUUUUCAACAUUUAGAGCAUAUACGUUUACUCUAUUGCAGUUUUUCCGGGUCUUUGUUUGGACUGAAUCGCCUUGUCGCUAGCUUCUUUAGUUUAGUUUCUGUUUUUCAAUAAUUUUGAGAACAUCUUACACCUGAUGAUUACUUAUGAAUAAUUACAAUAUAUUAUUC